GACAGAGGGGGCAAGCGUUGCUCGGAAUCACUGGGCGUAAAGGGCGCGUAGGCGGGAUGGCAAGUCGGUCGUGAAAUCCUUCGGCUCAACCGAAGAACGUCGGCCGAUACUGCCGUUCUUGAGGGAUGCAGAGGAGAUUGGAAUUCCCGGUGUAGCGGUGAAAUGUGUAGAGAUCGGGAGGAACACCGGUGGCGAAGGCGGGUCGCUGGGCAUCUCCUGACGCUGAGGCGCGAAAGCGUGGGGAGCAAACGGGG
rnacentral:rRNA from 1 species